CCUACGGGUGGCAGCAGUGAGGAAUAUUGGUCAAUGGACGGAAGUCUGAACCAGCCAUGCCGCGUGCAGGAAGACGGCUCUAUGAGUUGUAAACUGCUUUUGUACAAGGGUAAACCUGAAUACGUGUAUUCAGCUGAAAGUACUGUACGAAUAAGGAUCGGCUAACUCCGUGCCAGCAGCCGCGGUAAUACGGAGGAUCCAAGCGUUAUCCGGAUUUAUUGGGUUUAAAGGGUGCGUAGGCGGUCCGUUAAGUCAGCGGUAAAAUUGCGGGGCUCAACCCCGUCGAGCCGUUGAAACUGGCAGACUUGAGUUGGCGAGAAGUACGCGGAAUGCGCGGUGUAGCGGUGAAAUGCAUAGAUAUCGCGCAGAACUCCGAUUGCGAAGGCAGCGUACCGGCGCCAGACUGACGCUGAGGCACGAAAGCGUGGGGAUCGAACAGGAUUAGAUACCCUUGUAGUC
rnacentral:rRNA from 1 species